UUUGUAGGCCUGAACAGGUCUGAAAAUCAGACCGGGAAGGGCUGCGGCGGUGAUGUAAGAGGCUGGUGGGGGGAGGGGGAACCCUGGCAGACACCCCCCCCACGGCCUUAUAGGAAGCCCCCCGAAGGGGCUACAGAAUUUUUAUAUGAGAGGCUCAGCAGGAUCAUCAUGGAAAAAGGACUAUGUUCGAAUAUUGAAAGGAUUGCAGCCAAUCAGAGAAUGAGACUUCCAAGGCACCCAACAGUUCAGCUAGAACUAGGGCCUUUUCCUAAAAGUGCUUUGCUUUAUUUUCAAUCUGGGAAUAAAGACUAUUUGAAAUUC